AGCCAGCAGCCGCGGUAAUACGUAGGGAGCGAGCGUUGUCCGAAUUUACUGGGCGUAAAGCGCGCGUAGGCGGGCUGGUAAGUUGUGGGUGAAAUGCCGAGGCUCAACCUCGGCGCUGCCUGCAAGACUGCUGGUCUUGAGGUAUGGAGGGGAAAGCGGAAUUCCUGGUGUAGCGGUGAAAUGCGUAGAUAUCAGGAGGAACACCGAUGGCGAAGGCAGCUUUCUGGCCAUAUCCUGACGCUGAGGUGCGAAAGCCAGGGUAGCGAACGGGAUUAGAUACCCCGGUAGUCCUGGCCGUAAACGAUGGAUACUAGGUGUUAGAGGUAUCGACCCCUCUAGUGCCGGAGCUAACGCAUUAAGUAUCCCGCCUGGGGAGUACGGUCGCAAGACUGAAACUCAAAGGAAUUGACGGGGGCCCGCACAAGU
rnacentral:rRNA from 1 species